rnacentral:rRNA from 1 species
GACGAACCGAGCGAACGUUGUUCGGAAUCACUGGGCUUAAAGGGCGCGUAGGCGGGCGGUCAAGUCGAGGGUGAAAGCCCCCAGCUCAACUGGGGAAGUGCCUCCGAUACUGGCCGUCUCGAGGGGGAUAGGGGCGUGCGGAACUUCCGGUGGAGCGGUGAAAUGCGUAGAUAUCGGAAGGAACAUCGGUGGCGAAAGCGGCGCGCUGGAUCCCUUCUGACGCUGAGGCGCGAAAGCCAGGGGAGCGAACGGG